rnacentral:lncRNA from 13 species
AUUGUCUUCCUUUAUUUUCCCCAGAGCAGGAGGAGGAAAGUAGAGAAGAAGGAAUGAAGGCGAGAUAUCACUUUGAACUCGCUCACCGCACAUGUGUGACUCUGUUCUCACUUCAGCAGCCUCCAUGCACAGGUCCCAGGAGUAAAAGAAAUAAUGAGGGAUGACUUCAACAGAUAAUACUGCCCAACAAUUAAAGAGUCUGAGAAGAUGCCAGAGAUCAUAGUUUGAAAUUCAAGAAAAUAGAUGAAAAUAUGGUGCACUUCCUUACAUAUUGAAAUCUGGC